rnacentral:rRNA from 1 species
UACGUAGGUGGCAAGCGUUGUCCGGAUUUAUUGGGCGUAAAGAGCGUGUAGGCGGCCAGGUAGGUCAGCUGUGAAAACUCGAGGCUCAACCUCGAGAUGUCGGCUGAAACCAUCUGGCUAGAGUCCGGAAGAGGAGAAUGGAAUUCCCGGUGUAGCGGUGAAAUGCGCAGAUAUCGGGAAGAACACCCGUGGCGAAGGCGGUUCUCUGGGACGGUACUGACGCUGAGACGCGAAAGCGUGGGGAGCGAACAGG